rfam:Solanum lycopersicum cultivar Heinz 1706 chromosome 3, whole genome shotgun sequence.
GAGUUGAUGCCAGAGCGGUUACUGGGGACGGACUGUAAAUUCGUUAGAAAUAUGUUUACGCUGGUUCAAAUCAAACUCGGCCCA